rnacentral:rRNA from 1 species
AUGCACCUGCAUCAUUUGCUGAACACCAACGACAACGCUCCAGGCAUCUUCGCCCUCUCCAAAUGCAUCAAUAGUUUCGUCGUCAAGGUGUUGAAUAAUAAUGAUUGGGUCUUACACAUCAAUCUACAAGGCGUCCUCUUGGUUACCCGCAUCCAUCAAUUUUUUGCCCUUUCAUGCAAGUCCCUUGGGGUGCAGCUUAUCCCAGACACCAAGGAUGGCAUUCGGUGGAAGUUCGCAGCCGAUGGAUGCUACUCCGCCGCCACUGCAUACAAGAUGCAGUUUGCCGGAUUGAUCAAGUCUGAGAUGCCUAGGAUGGUUUGGAAGAUUUGGGCACCUCUUAAGAUUAAAUUCUUCUCCUGGCUGAUCCUUCAAGAUAAAAUCUGGAGGGCUGACAGGUUGCUUUGCAGAGGUUGGUCAAACUGCAGCCUUUGCCAACUUUGCAAGAGGGGAGCGGAAACGGUGGCUGACACUACUAGGGAAAAUCCUAGCAGUAGCACGUGUUUAAAGCCUAUCAGUAGCGCGGGGUACCGCGCUACUAGUAAGGCGCUACACCUAAAGGUUAGCAGUAGCGUGGGUUGGGCCGCGCUGCUGCUAUAUCGACUUAGUAGCAGCGCUUUUUAA